rnacentral:lncRNA from 1 species
UGCAUGUUUACCUGGCACUUCGCUCAGCAGUAGAGUUCUUGCUUAGCUUGCACAGAGGUCUGAGUCUAACCCCCAGUGCCACAACUAUCCAAAACACCAAGCUAACCUAAUGGAAACCCUGUGGAGUGAACUUCUCCCCUCCGAUAGCUGCUUGUUUAACAGACAACACAUCUUUUAGUGAAUUCGAUCUUUUAAAAGAUCUUUCUGGGGACUAAAAAUUCCCUGAAGAAAGCUACAACUUAGGGGAAAACAAGAUGUGGAGCUACCUCUCCAGCCUUCUGUCUGCCUGCAGGUGUCUAUGCGUCCCACCAUGAUGACACUGUACUAAACCUCUGAAACGGUCAGACUCAGGACCGUGUGCCCAGGAGAUAGCAGAGCCCAGAGCAGGAUGAACACUUCUACACCAAUUAAGAUAAUCAAGACAAUCUCUCACAGACAUGUCCACCGACUAACAAUGAUAAAGGGCCACUGACUCAAUUAAGAUUUUUUCCCAGUUAAUUCUGAACUAUAUCAAGUUGACAACGUUAACUAGGAACAGCGAUGAUGAGAGAAAUGACUAUGGGGGGGGGGGACAGACACUGCAUGUUUGCUAUGCAUGGUGGGAGUCAAAGGGCAAGGAACAGGAAAUGGCUUCUCCAAGGCAGUAAAAUUUAAAAUGAGGCUUAAGGUUACCCGGUGAAGACCGUUUCUGACUAUGAGAACAUAGGCAACAUGGGUGGAAAAGAGUGGGUGUGGAAGGCAGUAGGUUUUGUGGGACAUGGCUAGGAGUUAAGACUUGCUGCCUUUUAGUAUGAAGAUAUGUCACAUCAUACAAAUUAUGGGCUUCUGAUAAUUUUUUUCAUUUGAUAGCUUCACCCAUUUAUAUAAUUAGUUUGAGUCAUCUUGGGCCCCAUUUCCUUCCCUCAUUCCUUUCCUUUUCUUUCUGGAGACCUUGUCACCAAGGUUCCCUCUGGCUUCCAUGCCUUUAUUCUAUGUGUAGUUCACUGAGAGUUGCUUUUCUAAGUGUGGGUUGCAGUGGGGUGCGGGUAUUUACUGGCUCAAUAGCAAGUUGUCUGUGGGUACAUCACUGAGGAAAAUGGCACCUCUCCAAGACAGCCAUCAAUUGACAAUAGUGAAUUUUGUUUUUGAAACAAGUUUUCUGGUUGCUUCAUAGAGGAUGCAUUGUUGCCAUGAUCCACAUAAAGCCUUGAAAAUAUUUGAUGAUGUUAGUGGCUUAGAGCACAGAGAUCAUGGAAGUAUCAAUCUUAGUACAUGCGAAUGUGACAACUUGGUCUAGGUGGUCUGUUCUUUGUAUGCAAUGAUAUCCCACUGUUGGGACCUAUUAAGACAACACUAUUGUCCUGAUCUCUGAAUUGGGCCACUCCCCCCAAGAAGAAAAGGGGGUCAAAAGCGGGCCACCGACGCACCGUUCCGUGCACAACCACAGAAUGUUCCAGCCCUAAGUCCGCGCCAGAUGUCCUGACCACACCCUGAUACCACCAAGUUCCUGCUUCCUCGAGUAACUGCCAAAAGAAAAAUUUCCACUGCCCCACCCCUCCUGCUGAGAAGUACUUCCCCUUUUGCUUGAGCAUUUAAGCCUUGAGCCUUUCUGAAUAAAACGGGACCUUGAUG